UUGGUUAAGCGUCCGACUUCGGCUCAGGUCAUGAUCUCACGGUCCGUGAGUUCGAGCCCCGCGUCGGGCUCUGUGCUGACAGCUCAGAGCCUGGAGCCUGCUUCCGAUUCUGUGUCUCCCUCUCUCUCUCUGACCCUCCCCCAUUCAUGCUCUGUCUCUCUGUCUCAAAAAUAAAUAAACGUUAAAAAAAAUUAAAAAAAAAAGAAAGACGAUAUUUAAAAUAAAUUUUUUGAGCAAGGAUUUCUUCUUAUUACAAGACCAAGAUAGUAUGUAGUACUCUCCAAGAUAACCCAGUUACAAAGCAAUUCUUUGAAGGAUCUAAUGCUAUACGCUACAAGACUCUUGAAAUAUUACAUUAUUUUUUGGCAGAUUGCUUUGGUUUUGUAAUUGUAAAAGAGGAACAUGUCUUUCACAAUCACGUAAACUGUGAUGUUAAGUUAAAAAAAAAAACUUGAGUCACACUGAGAGGUUGACCAUCAAAAAGUAUAAAAAUAUAACUGGAAAUAGUGAGUAGGUCCUAUAAUUUGUUUCAUUGCUGGGAAGUCUUAUUUUUUUAACCUUUCAAUUAGGAAAAAUAGUUUGCAAUUCAAAGAUAGAGUUUUAUUAUUUCAGCCACCUUUUCGUUACAUAUGUCUGUUAACAGGGACCCUUCCAAAAUAGCCCGGGGUAGACUUUAUCCCAGGGACUAAGAAGGUGAAUAAAACGAGCCACGUGAAGCGGAAGACAAGGUAAAGGAAUAAACAUGUUGCACAUUUACGGACCGAUGAUGGUCUGGAAGCCAUUUGUAAGAACACAACAAAAUUGUGGCAAUUUGGCGACCGCAAUUGGGCACUCUGCUUGUAAUGAAGGCCAAAGCGUACAUCUUUAGUGUUAGAAGAGGAAGCCAUGUGGAGGACGAAAUAAACAAUAUGUAACUAGAGGUUCUAGAAAAAUACGAGCCUUCCAAAAUUCUGGCCUGGGACUUCGCAGGAAGGGCGAAUGAGGUGCUUCUGCAUCCAUCACCGCACUAAACCCCCAAUGAGCCGCUCUAACGAAACUGUAUUCACCAACUCUUGAAAGCGGCACCUGUGUCUCCCAUCACCUCGGAAGGACGCACACUGCAACGUGGAAUACGCUGCCUCGCUAGAAGCAAAACUGGCAAUUCCGUUUCCAAACUUAGCGGUGGCUAAAGGACAGAAACACAAAGAUUUGCCAUGUGGUGCUGGGGCCUUGAUGACGGCGCAGCACAGAGUUCCUGAGACACCAUGCAUGAACACCCGACCCCGGAAUUCUGCUUUGAAACGCUAACAAAAUUGGGGCUCCAGGGUGGCUCAGUUGGUUGAGGGUCUGACUUCAGCUCAGGUCACGAUUUCACAGCUCGUGAGUUCGAGCCCCCCGUUGGGCUCUGGGCUGACGGCUCGGAGCCUGGAGCCUGCUUCCCAUUCUGUGUCUCCCUCUCUCUCUGCCCCUAACCCACUCGCGUUCUGUCUCUGUCUCUCUCAAAAAUAAAUAAGCAUUAAAAAAAAAA